GUAGUAUGUGCCAUGGCUAUGACUAGUGUCAGACUGCCCGGCAGCGUUUUAAGAAAGCCAGAUGCCUGGAUUGGACUCUGCAGAGCACUGCGAGGGACACCUUCACAUAAAGGCUGUGCUUCCUGGAAUCGAUACUUGUAUUUGUCUAGUGCCAAGUUAAAUGCAUCAAAUUAUAAAACACUCUGCCAUAACAGUUUCUCACUGAGGCUCCCAGGGCUUCUAAUAUCUCCAGAAUAUAUUUUUCCAUUUUCCGUAAGACUCAAAAGUAAUAUAAGCUCUAAAAAAUCCACUAAAAAGACUCUACAAAAAGUGGAAGAUGAAGGGGACUCUGAUGAAGAGAGGGACCAUAAUGAGAUGAGUGAGCUGGAAGAGGAGCCCGAGGACAACCCCAGUGAGGUCAAAGACUAUAAAGACCUGGACAAAGUAGUACAGUCUUUCCGGUAUGACGUUAUCCUGAAGACGGGCCUAGAUAUCGGAAGGAACAAAGUGGAAGAUGCAUUCUACAAAGGUGAACUCAGGCUGAAUGGGGAAAAACUAUGGAAGAAAAGCAGAACGGUGAAAGUGGGAGAUACGUUGGAUCUUCUUAUUGGAGAGGAUAAAGAAGCAGAAACAGAGACAGUGAUGAGGGUUAUCCUGAAAAAAGUGCUGGAGGAGAAGACCAGCAAUGAGAAGUACAGAGUGGCAUUACGACGGUGGAAGAAGUUACAGUUGCCUAAAAAGAGCAUGCUCAAAUAAAUGGAUUGCUUUUCAGUGACAAAGAUGCUUUCUAGUGGUGCAGGAAGGGGCCAGGUUCAAAAGAAGAUGUUUUUAUUAAAAUAAAGUUCUCCCACCAUUUGUAGAAGAUGCUGAGCAGUUUCAAAUCAGGAUCCGCAUUGUGGCUCUUGAAGACGCUUCCCUUGGACUGGAUUUCCCUCUCAGGCUUGAUUUAUUCGCUUUUUGACCUCAUGAGCAAGAGUGAGAUUUGUAAUGAAUGAACUGAACUCAAAGACAGUUUACAUGGUCAGCCCACUGUUUCCCA
rnacentral:lncRNA from 1 species